AUGUGUAUACUGUGCGCCGUGCAACGGUGGUCGCGCCGCGUCGCCACCAUGCUGCCGUGGCUCGUCCUCCCCCUCAUCCUCCUCUGGGCGCUCUCCCAGCUCCUGCCCUCCGCCUACCGCUUCGAGGUCACCUCCCCGCGCCUCGCCUGCGUUUCCGUCCUCCUCCUCACCCUAUUCUGGUACGAGAUUCUCCUCCCGCGCCUCUCCCUCUGGCGCGCCCGCCGCUCAGCGCGCCUCCGCGAGGAGCGCCGCGCCCAUGCGCUUGAGCUUCAGAAGCUCCGCAAGACCGCCACACGCCGUUGCCGCAACUGCAACAAUCCCUACAGGGAUCAGAACCCUGGGGGCGGCAAGUUCAUGUGCUCAUACUGUGGCCACGUAUCCAAGCGGCCCGUGCUUGACCUUGGCCCUGCCGGGAAGGUCCCGGCUGGCUGGCCUUGCAGUCAGGAUUGGGCUAAUGCAGUCGGUGACCCAGGUUACUGGCUUGACCUGCAGUGUUCCGCCGAUAACUCCUACUCAGGCUUCUCAUGGCGGCUCUUCUCGUGCUUUUGCACGAGUAUGGCAUGGUUCUGGAAGAAAGUGUUCAGGUUUGGGUCAUCAGUGGACAGCGGUGGAUUGGGCCGGGAUGGCAGAAUGUUGACAAAAGCAGGGGACAAUGGAGGGAAGGCUGAGGAGAGCAGAGUGGACAAGGCGAAAAGGAAGGCUGAGGAGAAGAGGUUGGCGAGGUUGGAGAGGGAAAUGCUGGAGGAGGAGGAAAGGAAGCAGCGAGAAGAGAUGUCAAAGCUAGUGGAGGAGCGGAGAAGGCUGAGGGAUGAGAAAGCAGAGGCUGAGGAGCGAUCCAAAGGCGCUACCCCCGUUGGGGAGAAGGAUUCUAGGAAGGAAGCAGAACGGAGGCGGCAGGAGAGGAGGAGGAAGGAAGACAAGGGAUCAAGCAAGAGCAAUUCAGACUGCGAGGAUGUCGAGAGAAGAGUAAGCAGAGAAGGUGAGAGGAAGCGCGACUUUGAUAGAAGGAAUGAGACAGACAGGCGGGAUGCGGCAAGAGGUGGGACAGAUGGACAUAAGCCCAAUAACUUUGAAGCUAACAGUCAGGGUAGUAAGAUAGCACAGAGCAAGACGAAGUACUUUGGUCGUAUGACUGGAGGUUUAUUAUCUUCUUCCAGAGGUUUUGGUGGUGGCUCCUUUUUUGGUAGAAGUGCUCAGGCCCCUGUUCAUCAAGCUAACAAGGUGACUAAACCGCUCGUUACUGCAACUGACCAGAGUAUUAAAAGAGAUACCCAACCUGCAGCCACACCAGCAAUGGUCAAAUCUGCCACAGCCGGAGAAACUAGAAAUUCAUUGACUAAUCUUAGUCGACCUGUUAGUCCAAAUAUGCAGGCACAUCCUACAGGCCUUAAAAAGUCAUGGCAUCAGUUGUUUAGUCGCUCAGCGGCAGUUUCCCCUUGUCCCGAUGUUACUGCUUCAGCUCAUGAGAAGAACAUGCAGCCUGCCCCAAAUGGUGCACAGAUAAGCAGCGCUCAAAAUUUUCUGGCUCAGUAUCCUCCUCUGGACAGCACGCCGAAGUUAAGCCAAUCCAUGCACUCUGCAGGGUUUCCGCCAGUGAAUGGAGCAUUUGCCAAUAUGCCGCUAUCUCAUUUUCCAGCGGGACACUCGCCCUUCGGUAAAGUUUCAGAAGCAGCAUUACUGGAAGAACCUGAGCAAUUUGAGGACCCAUGCUAUGAUCCAGAUGCCAUCGCAUUGCUUGGUCCAGUUUCAGAGUCCCUAGACAACUUCCCUCCAGACUGGGAUAGCAGAUUCUCCUUGAAUGAUGUCACCAAGCAACCACAUGUUAGGAACCCCAUGCCUUCACCAAUUGAGUCUCCUCUAUCAAGAUCACGGACUAUUGAACGAAAUCCUAUUAGGCCCUCACAUUUCUCAACUGCAACAGGGCAGAAUGGUUCAAUGUCAGCUGAGGCUAACAAUGAGCAAGGCACAUGGCAAAUGUGGAGCACGCCGCUGGUACAGGACAGUUUAGGCCUGCGAGGUCCUCAGGGACAAUGGCUUCUACCAAACACAAAUCAAUUCAACCAUGGCAUCAAUCAUUUGAAUGGUGGAAGAAGAAGCCCCCUCAGUGCUGGUCUGAAUGACAACGAUUUAUGGCUGCAGAAAUCACCCUUCCAGCAAUUGCCUUUUGAUACAGAUAGUCUGUUCCUUUCACACGACAUGUCAGAAAAUGCUAUACACAAUGACUUGAGUUUUGGAUCUCCAAACAAAACAGCCCAUGCGCACCCCUUUGGACCACCUGAUCCUUGUCAUUCUUGGUCCAAGGAGCAGCUGGUGCCGAAUGGACCCCAGGGAGCUAGUCCAAUCCGGUCGCCGCCAACUGGAGGGCAUGCUGGUUUAUUUCCAACAAAUCCAAAUGCACAAUCAGUCUGGUCGUUUGAUAAGAAAAGGGACAGCAUAGAAGUUAUGGGCGAAGCAAGGCUCCCUCCUUCCAGUCUAGGGAGUUGA
rnacentral:rRNA from 1 species